CAAUGGCAGGAUAUCGAAAUGCCAACAUACAACAUCCACUGGCAAAGUAUCGAAGUGCCAACGUAUAACCCCCACUAGCAUGGUAUCGAAGUGCCAACAUAUAACUUCUACUUGCAGAGUAUCGAAGUGCCAACGUACAAUCUCCACAAGCAUGGUAUCAAAAUAUAGUUUACCUGCGAGUCCAAAUCCAUUUCAAUUCAAAACUCCUUUUCUCAAAACAUGUUCAGUGUUCCAAAUUCUAAGAUGCGAUAUUGAAAUCAAUCAAAUAUAAUCCACAUCAAAAUCAAUAUGUUCAACCAAGAAUUAUAUAAUAUUCUAAAAAAAGGCAUAUAUAAUAAUAAAACAUCAUGCAUUAAAUUCAUAAAUCAAGAAAAAUUUGAUUCAUAAAAUAUUUAAAAUUUACCAAUAAAUAUCGAAAAAGGGUUACAUUACUUACCUUAUCAAUACAAUCCAAUUAACAAAUCCAAUUAAUCCUGAAAAUCCAUCUCA
rnacentral:lncRNA from 1 species